rnacentral:rRNA from 1 species
GACGAACGCUGGCGGCGUGCUUAACACAUGCAAGUCGAACGGAAAGGCCCUGCUUUUGUGGGGUGCUCGAGUGGCGAACGGGUGAGUAACACGUGAGUAACCUGCCCUUGACUUUGGGAUAACUUCAGGAAACUGGGGCUAAUACCGGAUAGGAGCUCCUGCUGCAUGGUGGGGGUUGGAAAGUUUCGGCGGUUGGGGAUGGACUCGCGGCUUAUCAGCUUGUUGGUGGGGUAGUGGCUUACCAAGGCUUUGACGGGUAGCCGGCCUGAGAGGGUGACCAGCGACAUGGGGACUGAGGUACGGCGCAGACGCCUACGGUAGGCAGCAGUGGGGAGUAUUGCACAAUGGGCGGAAGCCUGAUGCAGCAGCGCCGCGUGCGGGAUGACGGCCUUCGGGUUGUAAACCGCUUUCGCCUGUGACGAAGCGUGAGUGACGGUAAUGGGUAAAGAAGCACCGGCUAACUACGUG